GAUGAACGCUAGCGGCAGGCUUAAUACAUGCAAGUCGAGGGGCAGCAUGAUUGUAGCAAUACAAUUGAUGGCGACCGGCAAACGGGUGCGGAACACGUACACAACCUCCCAAUAAGUGGGGAAUAGCCCAGAGAAAUUUGGAUUAAUACCCCGUAACAUAACGAUGUGGCAUCACAUUGUUAUUAUAGAUUUUUCGCUUAUUGAUGGGUGUGCGGCUGAUUAGAUAGUUGGCGGGGUAACGGCCCACCAAGUCUACGAUCAGUAGCUGAUGUGAGAGCAUGAUCAGCCACACGGGAACUGAGGCACGGGCCCGACUCCUACGGGAGGCAGCAGUAAGGAAUAUUGGACAAUGGACGCAAGUCUGAUCCAGCCAUGCCGCGUGAAGGAUUAAGGUCCUCUGGAUUGUAAACUUCUUUUAUAAGGGACGAAAAAAGGCUUUUCUAAGUCGUCUGACGGUACCUUAUGAAUAAGCACCGGCUAACUCCGUGCCAGCAGCCGCCGUAAUAC
rnacentral:rRNA from 1 species